GGAGGAAAGCAGGGGAUCGCAAGACCUCGCGCUAUUGGAGCGGCCGAUGUCCGAUUAGCUAGUUGGUGGGGUAAUGGCCUACCAAGGCAACGAUCGGUAGCUGGUCUGAGAGGAUGAUCAGCCACACUGGGACUGAGACACGGCCCAGACUCCUACGGGAGGCAGCAGUGGGGAAUUUUGGACAAUGGGCGCAAGCCUGAUCCAGCCAUGCCGCGUGAGUGAAGAAGGCCUUCGGGUUGUAAAGCUCUUUCGGCCGGAACGAAAUCGACCGAGUUAACACCUCGGUUGGAUGACGGUACCGGAAGAAGAAGCACCGGCUAACUACGUGCCAGCAGCCGCGGUAAUACGUAGGGUGCAGGCGUUAAUCGGAAUUACUGGGCGUAAAGCGUGCGCAGGCGGCUUCGCAAGUCAGACGUGAAAGCCCCGGGCUUAACCUGGGAACUGCGUUUGAAACUACAAAGCUAG
rnacentral:rRNA from 1 species